UACGUAGGCAGCAAGCGUUGUUCGGAGUUACUGGGCGUAAAGGGUGUGUAGGUGGCCUGUUAAGUUCCGUGUGAAAUCUCCCGGCUCAACCGGGAGGGUGCGCGGAAAACUGGCGGGCUAGAGUACGGGAUGGGGAGAGUAGAAUUCCUGGUGUAGCGGUGAAAUGCGUAGAUAUCAGGAGGAAUACCGGUGGUGUAGACGGCUCUCUUGGGACCGUAACUGACACUGAGACACGGAAAGCGUGGGUAGCCGAACAGG
rnacentral:rRNA from 1 species